UACAGAGGGUGCAAGCGUUGUUCGGAAUUAUUGGGCGUAAAGGGAGUGUAGGCGGUUCGUUAAGUCUUCUGUGAAAUCUACGGGCUCAGCCUGUAACGUGCAGAGGAAACUAGCGGGCUUGAGUGUCGGAGAGGAUAGGGGAAUACCCAGUGUAGAGGUGAAAUUCGUAGAGAUUGGGUGGAACACCAGUGGCGAAGGCGCCUAUCUGGCUGACAACUGACGCUGAGACUCGAAAGCAUGGGGAGCAAACAGG
rnacentral:rRNA from 1 species